rnacentral:rRNA from 1 species
CCUACGGGCGGCUGCAGUGAGGAAUAUUGGUCAAUGGGCGCGAGCCUGAACCAGCCAAGUCGCGUGAUGGAAGACGGUCCUAUGGAUUGUAAACCUCUUUUGUCGGGGAGCAAAAGACGCCACGCGUGGCGUUCCGAGCGUACCCGACGAACAAGCAUCGGCUAACUCCGUGCCAGCAGCCGCGGUAAUACGGAGGAUGCGAGCGUUAUCCGGAUUUAUUGGGUUUAAAGGGUGCGCAGGAGGAAGAUCAAGUCAGCGGUAAAAUUGAGAGGCUCAACCUCUGCGAGCCGUUGAAACUGGUUGUCGUGAGUGAGCGAGAAGUAGGCGGAAUGCGUGGUGUAGCGGUGAAAUGCAUAGAUAUCACGCAGAACUCCGAUUGCGAAGGCAGCAUACCGGAGCUCAACUGACGCUCAUGCACGAAAGUGUGGGUAUCGAACAGGAUUAGAUACCCUGGUAGUC